UCCCCCCCCACUCCGAUGAAGAUGACGGGUGGAACUUAAGCAU
rnacentral:rRNA from 1 species